rnacentral:rRNA from 1 species
UACGUAGGGUGCGAGCGUUAAUCGGAAUUACUGGGCGUAAAGGGUGCGUAGGCGGUUUGAUAAGUCUGAUGUGAAAUCCCCGGGCUCAACCUGGGAACGGCAUUGGAGACUGUCAAGCUAGAGUGCGUCAGAGGGGGGUAGAAUUCCACGUGUAGCAGUGAAAUGCGUAGAGAUGUGGAGGAAUACCGAUGGCGAAGGCGGCCCCCUGGGAUGACACUGACGCUGAAGCACGAAAGCGUGGGGAGCAAACAGG